CUACUCCCUUCUACGCAGAGCUUAUUCUUCAUCUCUGUUUUGUCAAGGACCCACUUUACACAAAAUUCUUGAAUAAGUGAACAUUUUUCCUUGGUCACGGUUUGGUCGUGUCAUUUGUCGUCAUUGUGUAAAAGUAUGUAUUCGUUAUAUUAAAAGUAAGGGGCUAACUAUUGUGUAACAUGGGCUGGAAAAAGCGUGCCUUCUUCUGGGACACAUCUGCUGAGGAGAUUUCUUGAAGGGAACCGUUCGACCUUUCAUAUGGAGAAACUGAUGGGGAUGCUGAUCCUCUGGAAACAAACGAAGAAGGAGAUGAUUUGAUGCAAAAUGAGAAAGCUCCAGAUGCCGCAAACAAUAUAGAUGUCCUUCUAAACCAAACCCAAGUCUUGCUAGAUCAAGCCCAACUUCUGGUGAGGAUCGUACAGGGACAAGUUUAAAAAGACAUUGCAAAUUAUACGAAUUUUUGCAAAUUUAUUUACUUGUACUGUGUAAUAAGUAUUUAAAAGAAAUAAAAAAACAGAU